rnacentral:rRNA from 1 species
GACGAACGCUGGCGGCGUGCUUAACACAUGCAAGUCGAACGGAAAGGCCCCAGCUUUCUGGGGUACACGAGUGGCGAACGGGCGAGUAACACGUGGGUGACCUGCCCCUCACUUCGGGAUAACCCUGGGAAACUGGGGCUAAUACCGGAUACGACCUCACGGUGCGGGUGGGGUGGAAGGUUGUUCGGUGUGGGAUGGGUCCGCGGCUUAUCAGCUUGUUGGUUGGGUAGUGGGCUACCAAGGCGGCGACGGGUAGCCGGCCUGAGAGGGUGGACGGCCACAUUGGGACUGAGAUACGGCCCAGACUCCUGCGGGAGGCAGCAGUGGGGAAUAUUGCACAAUGGGCGGAAGCCUGAUGCAGCGACGCCGCGUGCGGGAUGACGGCCUUCGGGUUGUAAACUCCUUUCGCCAUCGACGAAGCUUGUCUGACGGUAGAUGGUGAAGAAGCACCGGCUAACUACGUG